UACAGAGGUCUCAAGCGUUGUUCGGAUUCAUUGGGCGUAAAGGGUGCGUAGGUGGUGAGGUAAGUCGGAUGUGAAAUCUCCGAGCUCAACUCGGAAAUGGCAUUGGAAACUACCUUGCUAGAGGGUUGGAGGGGGGACUGGAAUACUUGGUGUAGCAGUGAAAUGCGUAGAUAUCAAGUGGAACACCAGUGGCGAAGGCGAGUCCCUGGACAACUCCUGACACUGAGGCACGAAAGCUAGGGGAGCAAACAGG
rnacentral:rRNA from 1 species